rnacentral:rRNA from 1 species
CGUACACUCCUACGGGAGGCAGCAGUGGGGAAUAUUACACAAUGGGCGCAAGCCUGAUGCAGCCAUGCCGCGUGUAUGAAGAAGGCCUUCGGGUUGUAAAGUACUUUCAGCGGGGAGGAAGGCGAUAAGGUUAAUAACCUUGUUGAUUGACGUUACCCGCAGAAGAAGCACCGGCUAACUCCGUGCCAGCAGCCGCGGUAAUACGGAGGGUGCAAGCGUUAAUCGGAAUUACUGGGCGUAAAGCGCACGCAGGCGGUCUGUCAAGUCGGAUGUGAAAUCCCCGGGCUCAACCUGGGAACUGCAUUCGAAACUGGCAGGCUAGAGUCUUGUAGAGGGGGGUAGAAUUCCAGGUGUAGCGGUGAAAUGCGUAGAGAUCUGGAGGAAUACCGGUGGCGAAGGCGGCCCCCUGGACAAAGACUGACGCUCAGGUGCGAAAGCGUGGGGAGCAAACAGGAUUAGAAACCCGAGUAGUCCCAUGA